CCCCUCUCAGGAUCGCAACUGGAGAGUUUCCAGUACUCUACCGGUCUCGACUACGGGAGGGAGAGUCAAGUAGAGGCCUACCCAUUUCCUUCCUAGCUUAGGCUGUGACUAAUGAGUGAAAGAUAAUCUGCUACAAGU